AGUCACUUUAAACCCUUCCUCCCCACUGCCCGAACGUCAAACCACACAAAUUAAGAAAAAUUUCAUUUUGAAUCAAGAUGAGGCUCAAUUUGGAAUUGAAUUUCAAUCCCAAUCAUCUAUGGAUCGAAUUUUACACGAAUCCAUUCCAUUACUGGGUACAAAUACCAAAAUGAUUCAUCUUCGCCAAGAUUAGACUCUCUCCUCAACUUGCAACAUGCCUGUGUUACAACACUUCAAUGCUGCUGCUAUUCUCAAAUUUCAGUCAUACUCAUACAUGCCUGGAUUCACCUCUCACCCGUGAUCACUGACCCGAAGAUGAAUAAAAUUACCCGCCGGUUACCUGCUCUUCUGCUCAAUUGGGGAAAUGAUCUUGCUUUUGUCAAUUUAAGAACAUCCGUCAGAGUCCCGCUUCGCCUCUUCUCCUCUGGGUUACCAGAGAGACUGGAAAUGGCGGAGUUCACUGAAUACAUGGAAAAACUGAAAAAUUACGAAAAAAUCGGUGUGCCAAAGGGUGCCGGCACUGAUUCCAGCGUCGGGUUCGAUUUAGAUAGGAUGAGGAGGUUGCUGUACCACCUGGGCAAUCCUCAUUACAAAUUCAAGGCAGUACACAUUGCUGGUACAAAAGGGAAGGGAUCAACUGCUGCAUUUCUCUCCAGCAUUUUGCGUGCUGAAGGUUAUUCUGUCGGUUGCUAUUCCAGUCCGCAUAUACGAACGAUUAGAGAGCGUAUUUCUUUGGGAACAACUGGAGAGCCGGUGUCAGCAGCAGUGUUGAAUUCUCAUUUCCACAAAAUAAAGGAGUAUCUGGACAAGGCAGUUGAACUUGAAAAGGGACAGCUCAGUCAGUUUGAGGUUUUCACUGCUGUAGCAUUCAGUUUAUUUGCAGAAGAAAAGGUUGACUUUGGAGUGAUUGAGGCUGGAUUAGGUGGAGCACGGGAUGCGACGAAUGUGAUCACCGCUUCUGAUCUGGCAGUUUCAGUUAUUACAAAUGUAGGUGCAGAGCAUCUAGCUGCACUAGGGGGAUCUUUAGAGAAUAUUGCAGCAGCUAAAUCAGGAAUUAUCAAAAAAGGACGUCCACUGGUUAUAGGUGGGCCAUUCAUUCCACACAUUGAGCAUAUUAUUCGUGAUAGAGCAUUAUCUUUGUGUUCACCUGUGGUAUCUGCAUCUGAUCCUGGAAAUAGAAGUGUUGUCAAAGGCUUUUCUAGAUCAGGUGAAGUUCCCUGCCAAUUAUGUGACAUUCAGAUCUCAAUCGACAGAGACAUUCAUUUGUUCAUUGAAUUAUUCGAUGUACAAUUACGAUUGCUUGGGGCUCAUCAACUUCAGAAUGCUGCCACUGCUACUUGUGCUGCACUCUGCUUACGUGACCAAGGAUGGAAGGUGUCAGAUGCAUCUAUUUAUGCUGGUCUAGAGCUUGCUUAUUUGCUUGGUAGGAGCCAAUUUUUGACAAACAAGGAAGCUGAAAUGCUAGGAGUUCGAGGAGCAACUAUACUGCUUGAUGGAGAGCAAGGUUGUUCACACGAGUCACUUGUUCAAGAACAGCAUAACAGACCGCAAUCAGAGCAGGACACGUCAGACGCAUCAGAGUUGUCAGAUCCGUCAGCCGUCAGUCAUCAGACCCAUCAGCCGUCAGUCCCAUCAGAUCCGUCAGUCCCAUCAGUGCGUCAGAUCCCUGGGGAGCGUCGCCCAGUCUACUACGCAGCCCUGAUCGCCGACAGCAUGCUGUAGAUCCGAUCCGACGCAUCCCGCAAAUUGCAGAAUUUGUAUUUGCAUGAUUAAAUCAUGUCUGAGGACGAAAAAACCAAGAUUGAUAAGUUCGAUGGAAAAGAUUUCGGUUGGUGGAAGGUGCAAGUCGAGGAUUUGCUUUGCUAAGAGGAUCUGGAUUUGCCUUUGACCGGAAGACAACCUGAGAAGACGAGCGAUGAUGAAUGGACAAUCCUUAACAAGAAAGCCCUGUCAGCAAUCAAAUCUACGCUAGCAAAAAACGUUGGACUCACCAUUCUGAAGGAGACUAUCGCAUAUGGGUUGAUGAAGACGUUGACAAACAUGUACGAGAAGCCAUCGGCUUCCAACAAGCCCAUACCAAGGAAUCUGCCCAAGUUUUAGUGAACAUGAUUACAAUGGCAUUUCCUAAUGCAAGAUUGGUUCUUGUGGUUGCCAUGGCAAUUGACAAAGA